CUGUUUUAAUUUUCUGAGAGUUUUCUGUUUUUAUUUUAUUUAUUGUCUAACAGAGGACUUAUCGUAAAGACGCUUCUGAGGAUCAAAAAUGUGAUGGUACUUUUUCAGAUCUACUUCAGGGAUGUUUUCCAGACCGUCGCCAAUAGCCAAUUGUGCUGCUCUAAUGCGUCGUAAAUUAAAUACUUUCUCUCAUUCUUUUUUUUCUGCCAGAAUUCAAAUACUAUACAGCUGGUCUCUGUAAACAAUAAAAAAAAACAAUUUUUCGUGUUUGGAGAAAUAUUUUGUCUCAGUCUAAUGUUGAUGAAAAUUUAAAUGCAAUUCAUCACUUUUGCUUGAGAAUUAAGAAGAAUUUGUUAAAUUCCUUUAAAUUUUUUCCUGCUAUGGUUAAGCAACUGACAUAUCUGAAAUUAAAAUUAUCCCUAAAUACAAUAUAGCGUCUGUAUUGGAAUGAUUUUUAAUUGAAUUAGAGAUGGCGUGUGAGCAGUAGAGAAAAGCGUGUGGAUGUUGAAUAUAGAAUAAAUUUAAGACAGAUGCGUAAUAGCAAUCAUGUAGUUAAGUAGUAGUUUAUUUUGUGUGUGUUGUGUAUUUGUUUUUAUGUUGUACUAGUUGUGUUUUAGUUGUUUGUGUAACAGUAAUUGGUUCAUCAAUAAAGGAUAAAAAAUAGAUCGUAUUGAAUAUCAUUAAAUUGAGAUAUUAGAGACAAUAAUGGCAGUAUCAAUAACGACAUCCAAUCGUGAUUGCCACCCCUGAGAGAAGUUAAGAAGAUCAAUUAUUUUCUUGCUUCUGAUUACGAACAUAUUUUUGUGGAUUUUUGAGCUAGACUUGUUUUAGUCUGUUCCAAUUGUCCUUUAACUAAUUUUGUGCAGAUUUUGAAUGUUUUAUUAUUUUCUGAAUAAUUUUAUUUCUGUGACAGUUAGGUGAUUAGAAACCUCAUCAUAAUUAGUACGGCAGCUUAGAGAUGGUCUUGUCAUGUUCUUGAACAUUUCUUAUGGAUUUCUCUUUGUCAAAGAUCCUGCCAGUUCAGUACCUUGAUUGUUUAAAAUAUGCAUAGAGUCUUACCUGUUGAGCCAACUGAGGGUUUUGCUGGUCUCCAAGAAUCACCCCCCAGCAGUACACAGCCACUGAGUAAACAGAUAACUAAGGACAGCACUUAUAAUGUGUUUUGUUGGGUCAUCUUUGACAUUGGAUGUCUGACAGCGAAGUUAAUGUUCGUGUAUUGGAAUCCGAUUCCGGAUAUGGAUAACUCUUGAUAUUUUCACUCAGAGGACAAAGAAAUAGGUCUUUGUCCUCAGUGUGAAAUGUGAAUUUGGCCCACCCUAUGAACGGGCAUCUCUAGCAGUUUGGCGUGGGUAAUGUUGUAACACCUUCGUGAUUCAAGUUCAUGUAUGUCUGCUCUGUGUUUCAAAUGUUGCAAAUAUUAUUUAAUGACUUUAUUAUUUAAAUUAAUGGUCAUAGGAAAAUUUUUAAAUUUUUAUGUUGUACAUAAUUUUAAACUAGAGUGUUAAAAUACACAAUAUUGCGUAACGAAUUACGAUGUUUUUUUAUAGAUAAUACGUUAAUUAUAAAUAAUUGAUAAUUUGAUUGUUAUGAAAAUAUUAUCAUGUUAAAAUGAAUAAUUUCAAACACUGGCAUUAAAAGCUGAAAUAGUAUUUAAUAAAUAUAAAAUUUAAUUUAAUGCCAAUCGGAAUACGUUUAAUUUCAUAAUAACGCUCAUAAAACAUACACGGAAAACACAAAUUUCCUAAUAAAAAACAAUAUAUAGCAGUUAUUCAUGGAAUUGAAUAUGAACAGAGUUUCGUAAUCUUCGUCAAUAAUAUGUAAUUUUAGACAGUUAUAUUUAUGAUAAUAUGUUUGUGGUAAUAUGUAUAUAUAUAUGAAUAUAUUAUGAUAUAUGUAUAAAUUAUGAUAAUAUGUAUAAUUAAUUUCGUCAUUGAUUGUAUUUAGCAGAAAUGAUUUUAAUAUGUGUACAUUACUAUAUACUAUAAGUUGAGCUAUAACAUUUCAGCAAUGAUUAAACGAAAACACUACCAAAAUCUAUCAAACCACGAAUGAAAACUAGUUUUAGUGUCUCAUGAAAUUUGUGGUGCUCUGUGAAAUUUUGCUCUAACUGACAAUCAAACAGGUUUUGAUGUUUUUGUUAUGUUUUCCUUUUGAAGUAAAUCUAUAUAUUUUGUU
rnacentral:lncRNA from 1 species